rnacentral:rRNA from 1 species
UCGGGAAUUUUGGACAAUGGGCGCAAGCCUGAUCCAGCCAUGCCGCGUGCAGGAUGACGGUCCUAUGGAUUGUAAACUGCUUUUGUACAGGAAGAAACAGUUCUACGUGUAGAACCUUGACGGUACUGUAAGAAUAAGGAUCGGCUAACUCCGUGCCAGCAGCCGCGGUAAUACGGAGGAUCCAAGCGUUAUCCGGAAUCAUUGGGUUUAAAGGGUCCGUAGGCGGUUAGAUAAGUCAGUGGUGAAAGCCCAUCGCUCAACGGUGGAACGGCCAUUGAUACUGUCUGACUUGAAUUAUUGGGAAGUAACUAGAAUAUGUAGUGUAGCGGUGAAAUGCUUAGAGAUUACAUGGAAUACCAAUUGCGAAGGCAGGUUACUACUAAUGGAUUGACGCUGAUGGACGAAAGCGUGGGUAGCGAACAGGAUUAGAUACCCUUGUAGUCCCUGAGCGGGCUGGCAAGGCGCAU